UCAUGGCAGCCCUUCCUUCCCCUUUUUGUUGUGUUGUUUGUCAUUCCCUGUCUGUUUAAUCCUCAUGUGUCUCUCUCCUGUCUGUGUGAGUUUGGUGGGCAGGGCUCAUGUUCUCAGGCGGCGCCAGGUGCAGCUAGUUGGUCAUCAGGAUCUCGACUACAAAGACUUCCUUCUGCUUCACCUCGGCGCCAGAUUGUUUCACCUGCUCGCGUGGUCGCUGUUCGUGUUUUUUUGCUUCACCUCACCUGUGCUUUUUUGGACACCACUCUGGGAUCACGGACACUGCCACUGGGAACCUCGCACUACCCCUCCUCCUUGCACCUUUUGAGUCACUUUUUGGAAUAUACCUUUUUGUUAUCAACUUGA